AGAGUUUGAUCCUGGCUCAGAUUGAACGCUGGCGGCAGGCUUAACACAUGCAAGUCGAGCGGAGAUGAGGUGCUUGCACCUUAUCUUAGCGGCGGACGGGUGAGUAAUGCUUAGGAAUCUGCCUAUUAGUGGGGGACAACAUUCCGAAAGGAAUGCUAAUACCGCAUACGUCCUACGGGAGAAAGCAGGGGAUCUUCGGACCUUGCGCUAAUAGAUGAGCCUAAGUCGGAUUAGCUAGUUGGUGGGGUAAAGGCCUACCAAGGCGACGAUCUGUAGCGGGUCUGAGAGGAUGAUCCGCCACACUGGGACUGAGACACGGCCCAGACUCCUACGGGAGGCAGCAGUGGGGAAUAUUGGACAAUGGGGGGAACCCUGAUCCAGCCAUGCCGCGUGUGUGAAGAAGGCCUUAUGGUUGUAAAGCACUUUAAGCGAGGAGGAGGCUACUGAGACUAAUACUCUUGGAUAGUGGACGUUACUCGCAGAAUAAGCACCGGCUAACUCUGUGCCAGCAGCCGCGGUAAUACAGAGGGUGCGAGCGUUAAUCGGAUUUACUGGGCGUAAAGCGUGCGUAGGCGGCUUUUUAAGUCGGAUGUGAAAUCCCCGAGCUUAACUUGGGAAUUGCAUUCGAUACUGGGAAGCUAGAGUAUGGGAGAGGAUGGUAGAAUUCCAGGUGUAGCGGUGAAAUGCGUAGAGAUCUGGAG
rnacentral:rRNA from 1 species